rnacentral:rRNA from 1 species
AUGGCUAGUACGGAGCUGGGGUGUCCAGUGGGCUCAUUUCCAGUUCGGUAUCUUGGGCUUCCAUUGUCUUUGAGGAAACUUUCUGCUACCCAACUCCAAUGUCUCGUGGAUCAGAUGGGAAACCAACUGCCAAAAUGGAAGGCUACUCUAAUGCCAAAGAGUGGAAGACUGACUCUGGUGCAUUCUGUUCUGUGUGCCAUGCCCAUUCACGCUAUGAUGGUGUUGGAUCUGCCGAUCAAAACGAUUGCCGCAAUGAAUAAGGUGUGCCGGGGAUUCCCGUGGUGCCGUAAGGCCGAAGCAAAUGGUGGAAAUUGUGCUGUGGCAUGGGAGGUGGUGUGUGCUCCGAAGUGGGCAGGAGGUCUAGGGCUGCCUAAUUUGAGGUAG